UUUCCCAUGACAGCCUGAUCAUAAGGCAUGGCAGAGAGAGAAGGAUCAUGACUGCCUCUGCCCUGAAGCUAUGUAUGUGUUGUGUCAGACUCAGGACGGUAGCAAUCGAUGAGAUAAAGAUCUUCAAGCCUUCACCUCCCACUCUCCCCCAGCUCCUGGGCAGAGCUUGCUAAGCCAGGAGGGCUGCCUGCUCUCAGAAGCUGGAGUCCCUGGGUGGGCAGUUGGUGCCAUACCAUGGCCCACUCCCUCCCUUCUCUCCCCAUAAUAACCACUGCUCCACAAGUUUAAGUCCCCAGGCAGGUCUUAGUUGCGGCAUGCAUGCCAGAUCUAGUUCCCCGACCAGGGAUCAAACCUGGGCCCCCUGCAUUGGGAGCACGGAGUCUUACCCACUGGAGCACCAGGCUCUCUCGAUUAGGCACCAUGGAAUGGGAAAAAAUAACCCCUUUUACAGUUUAAGAAGCGGCACCUAUAAAAUCAGCUGUAAUGGAGCCAGUCUCACUGGGCCAUGGGCUGGGCAAGAAAGGCCAAGAAAAUUCACCUAAAAGGCUGUGUAGCUGACUUGAAUGAUCCCACAUGACAGGGUCCAGCUACGUCCUGGGUUCCAUUGGACAACUACCCCAAACCCAAGAAUGGUCCAGCCCAGUCCUGGGAUCAUCAAAAAGUCCUGAAGAGGGCUUCCCUGGUGGCGCAGUGGUUGAGAAUCUGCCUGCCAAUGCAGGGGACACGGGUUCGAGCCCUGGUCUGGGAAGAUCCCACAUGCUGCGGAGCAACUGGGCCCGUGAGCCACAAUUACUGAGCCUGCGCGUCUGGAGCCUGUGCUCCGCAACAAGAGAGGCCGCGAUAGUGAGAGGCCCGCGCACCGCGAUGAAGAGUGGCCCUCGCUUGCCACAAUUGGAGGAAGCCCUCGCACAGAAACGAAGACCCAACACAGCCAUAAAUAAAUUAAAAAAAAAAAAAAAAAAAAAAAAGUCCUGAAGAAAAUCACUUAUUGACAGACAUCAUUAAUUCUUAGCUAUUUUUUAUGGUUUGCCCUACCUUUUCUAUCACAAACUAAAUCAACCUACUGUGGUGACAUGGUGUUUAAUUUGAUGGUGGCUGAGGAAGGAAGGGUAUUUCAAACCCCCGUAGGGUUUUCUUUGCCUGUUA